rnacentral:tRNA from 1 species
CUAGGGUUAUUCUAUAUUAGAUUGCGGCUUUGGGAGUUGUAGAAUUUACCCUUGU